CGUGUAGGCGGCCCGUUAAGUCUGGAGUGAAAGUCCUGCUUUUAAGGUGGGAAUUGCUUUGGAUACUGAUGGGCUUGAGUGCAGGAGAGGUUAUCGGAAUUCCCGGUGUAGCGGUGAAAUGCGUAGAGAUCGGGAGGAACACCAGUGGCGAAGGCGGGUAACUGGACUGCAACUGACGCUGAGGCGCGAAAGUGUGGGGAGCAAACAG
rnacentral:rRNA from 1 species